GAUCUGCUGAGCGGCAGGUGCAGGCAGUGGAAGCAGUAGCUGCUGUCCAGUCGGUAGCCGACUUGCGGAUCCAGCAAGAGCCAGCGGCUGCGCUUCGGCUGCUGCAGAGUUGGGGUCUUGCUCUGUCGCUCAGGCUGGAGUGCAGUGGCAUGAUCAUGGGUCACUGCAGCCUUGAACUCCUGGGCUUAAGGGAUCUUCUCAUCUCAGUCUCCUAAAUAGCUGGGACUACAGGCUCAGGCCACCAUGCCUGGCUAUUUAUUAAACUAAUCCACGUUCUGAACAGUUAUUGCUACUGGAAACCAGUCCCGAUCCAGACCACAAAAGACGAUUCUUGGAUCUUGCACAAGAAAGAAAGGCUUAUAGAAGAGUACAGCAUACAGAAAAAUACAUCUUCUGCAAAGAAAACACAGUCAUGUAGAGAACCUUUCCAUCCCCAGUCUGGACCCAGUUCCUAGGAAAGAAGUUGUUUCAACUCUCAUUGGAGGAAGUAUAAGGUGAUCUCAGGGAAGGGGAGAAGGGCUGGUUGCCUGCCAAAUCUAUGAUCAAGUCGGCUCCACACUUUGCUUCCACUUCUAAGUGAGAACAUACAGUGUUUGGUUUUUCAUUCCUGAGUUACUUCACCUAGAACAAUGGCCUCCAGCUCCAUCCAAGUUGCUGCAGAAGACAUUUCAUUCCUUUUAUGGCUGAGUAGUAUUCCAUGUCCAGUGAUUCAAGUUUGACACACCACACCACGGUGGAUGUGCCUUGUCAUGACACAUCUUCUCAGCAGCACUAGAAGAUACAUCCAAAGUCCUGUGAGCAAGGACACAGCGAGAAGAUGGCUGUCUACAAGCCAGGAAGAGAGUCCUCACCAGAACCAAACCCUGCUGGACUUUGAUCUUGGACUUCCCAGCCUCUAAAACUGUGAAGACAUAAAUUUCUGUUGUUAAACCCACACAGGUCUGUGGUAUCUGUUUAUUAUGGCAGCCCAGUAAGACUAAGACAGGCCAUCACAAGACAUGAAUGUUUUGGACCUUCUCUUGGGCCCUAGUAAACAGAAAUCAGGUACGCAAAAGGGGUAAGCAUAUAAUUUCCUUUAUUUUUAUUUUUAAUGUGUAAGCCUUAGGUUUUUAUUUAUUUAUUUGGUGAAGACAAUCACAUUGUGUACGUACAAUGUAAUUAUAUUGUUGACGAGAAGUUACUUAAAAUUUUUUAAAAAUUCUAAUCGAUUUCUAGAUGUCCAAAUGAGAAGAUAGCAUUUAUAUACCAUCAGAACAUAAAAUAAUUCAAAAAAAUAAAUUUAUAAAACAAUA
rnacentral:lncRNA from 10 species